UACGGAGGGUGCAAGCGUUAUCCGGAUUCACUGGGUUUAAAGGGUGCGUAGGUGGGUUGGUAAGUCAGUGGUGAAAUCUCCGUGCUUAACAUGGAAACUGCCAUUGAUACUACUGGUCUUGAAUUUUCCGGAGGUAAGCGGAAUAUGUCAUGUAGCGGUGAAAUGCUUAGAUAUGACAUAGAACACCAAUUGCGAAGGCAGCUUACUACAGGGACAUUGACGCUGAGGCACGAAAGCGUGGGGAUCAAACAGG
rnacentral:rRNA from 1 species